GCAUAACGCGAAGAACCUUACCAAGUCUUGACAUCCCAAUGACCAGCAGAGUAACGUCUGCCUCCCUUCGGGGCAUUGGUGACAGGUGGUGCAUGGUUGUCGUCAGCUCGUGUCGUGAGAUGUUGGGUUAAGUCCCGCAACGAGCGCAACCCCUAUCUUUAGUAGCCAGCAGUUCGGCUGGGCACUCUAGAGAGACUGCCAGGGAUAACCUGGAGGAAGGCGGGGAUGACGUCAAAUCAUCAUGCCCCUUAUGUAUUUGGGCUACACACGUGCUACAAUGGUGACUAACAAAGAGAAGACAAACCUGCGAGGGGGAGCAAAUCUCAAAAAGGUCAUCCCAGUUCGGAUUGUACUCUGCAACUCGAGAGCAUGAAGUCGGAAUCGCUAGUAAUCGCGAAUCAGAAUGUCGCGGUGAAUACGUUCCCGGGUCUUGUACACACCG
rnacentral:rRNA from 1 species